rnacentral:rRNA from 1 species
CAUAGCAGUGGUAGAGGAAGCGAAAGCGGACGACCUUCGGGAGCUGUUACAGGUGUUGCAUGGCUGUCGUCAGCUCGUGUCGUGAGAUGUUCGGUUAAGUCCGCUAACGAGCGCAACCCGCGUUGUGUGUUACAAGUGUCACACAAUACCGCCGGUAUUAAGUCGGAGGAAGGUGCGGAUGACGUCAAGUCAGCAUGACCUUUAUAUCCAGGGCUACACACACGCUACAAUGGUCGGCACAAUAGGUUGCCAAGUCGUGAGACGGAGCCAAUCCUCCAAAGCCGGCCUCAGUUCAGAUUGCAGGCUGCAACUCGCCUGCAUGAAGUUGGAGUUGCUAGUAAACGCAGGUCAGCUAUACUGCGUUGAAUACGUUCCCGGGGAUU